GAUGGAACUAAGAAGGCAUAUGUUAGGUUGACACCUGAUUAUGAUGCUCUGGAUGUUGCUAACAAAAUAGGAAUCAUCUAAAUGGUAGACGAUCAAUUUUUGCAUCUAAGCCUUUCUUUUGGGGAUUGGACCAGAAUACUUUCAAUUUUGUACUCCUAAGUUUGUUAUUUGAUUUAGAUGUUGGAGCUUUAGACUGAAUGGUGCAAGUUAUGGAGAGAUUUUGAUUAGAUUGACUUAAUUUAUAUAUUUUUCCAUGGUUUCUGCCAUUUUCAAAUCCUUUUAAAUCUGCUUUCCAAGAUACACUAGUUCUAUUACUAUAAAGAUUCUUUGCAUAUCUUUUUCCUAUUAUCGAACAUGUUAGGUACUGCCCCUUACAAAAAAGAACAUGAUUGGUAGUGUAAUCAACAUAAAUUUACUGCAAAUGUCUAGCCAUUACUAAGAAUAUUUUCAUUGUUUGGUAAUCUACAGUUCAUUUCCUCUACCCUAUCUCCCACAACUCCUCCUACGUCCCCUCAACAGAUUCACGGUUUCUUCGUUCUUUUCUGUUUGUCUUAUCAUGGUGUUCCAAUAAAUCACAUUUCGCUAGGACCGAACCGAAACUGGACUGAAACUGCCAUCGGUUCUCUGUCCGAUUCGGUCCAAAACCGCAAUUUUCGGCAGUUCGUGAAAAAAACAAAAAAAUCACAUUUUUAAACAUAUUUUAACCUGUUUAACAAUAAUAAUUCAAUACACCAAAAAUCCUUAAAAUAAAAUCUAUAAACUAGCUCCAAUAAAAAGCUACAAAGUCCAUAAUCAAGUAUAUUUGAUUUUAGAAAUUAAUGUUUCAAUUCAAAAUAUUUGAUUUUUGAAAUUAAUUAAAAUAUUAUUAAUAUUAAUAAAAAUAUAAAAUAUAUAUUUAAUAUAUAUAUUCGGUUCGGUUUUCGUCGGGUUUAGCCUCCCCGGAACCGAAAUCGAACCGAUAAACUAUUGGUCCAUCAAAAAAGAACUGGACCGGACCAAUAAGUAGACCAAAACCGACUCAGACCGACAAAAUAGAUCGGUUCGGUCCGGUUCGUCGGUUCUGGUUCAAUUUUUUUUUGCUAACCCCUAGCAUCAAGUUUAGCUACCUCCUUCAGCUCCGGCCAGUACCUGUCCUCCUUAUUGCCGACUGACAGCGACCUCACCUAGGUCUCCUGCUCCGCGUGCUGCCCACCCCCUUCCACCCUCACAGCUCCGCCACCAUUUUAGACAAACAAGAAACAUUAAUUAAACAACUUUAUUAAUAUAUAUAUAUAUAUAUAUAUAUAUAUAUAUAUACACACACACACACACGNUUCUUGUUAUAUUUAUGAUAAACAUGCUUGUUUAUCAUUGUGUUGCUUGUUGUACUACAAAUUUUUUGUUUAGCCAAUACUUACCGUUCUUUUAAUGGGCACUACUGAUUUGGGGUAAAUGGCUGUAUUAUUGUUAUGGAAAUCUAGCCACUUCUUUUGUUUGUUAGCUAAUUUUUGCUUUUACUUGUAUAUCCACAGGUGAUGCAGGUAAGAAGUCAGACGCCAAGGCUCAAGCCUUAAAGGCGGCCAAGGCUGUAAAAGCAGGUGCAACAACCUUUAAGAAGAAGGCCAAGAAAAUACGCACUAAAGUUACCUUCUAUCGGCCGAAGACAUUGACAAAGGAAAGGAAUCCCAAGUAUCCUCGCAUUAGUGCUGUUCCUCGCAACAAACUUGACCACUACCAGAUUCUUAAAUACCCUCUCACCACAGAGUCUGCAAUGAAGAAAAUUGAAGAUAACAACACACUAGUUUUCAUUGUUGACAUUCGUGCUGAUAAGAAAAAGAUCAAAGCCGCUGUCAAGAAAAUGUAUGACAUCCAGACGAAGAAAGUGAACACCCUUAUCAGGUGAACAAUGAUUCCAUCAAUCUUUCUGCAAUUUACAUGUUGCAUCUGAACUGUUGGCCUGUGAUUGUGUCUUAACUUUUGUCUCAUAAUAUGUUUAGGUUUUUCAAUGUUACUACUUUCAUCUAGAAGUUUUAGUGAUAAACAACAUUAGCUUGAAAAUUUGAAUAUCGUGUGCAUCUGAACUAUUGCUUGAAGCUGGGUAAUGCAGUCAUAGUAUGCAAGAUGACUUUGUUUAGAAGUUAUCUAUCAUCCAUUCAUGCUACUUUGUGUAACAAACAAGGUAUCAAAUUCAUUUUUUGCUUCAUGGUAACUGACUUAUGAUCUGAUCUGUUUCAGGCCGGAUGGAACUAAGAAGGCAUAUGUUAGGUUGACACCUGAUUAUGAUGCUCUGGAUGUUGCUAACAAAAUAGGAAUCAUCUAAAUGGUAGACGAUCAAUUUUUGCAUCUAAGCCUUUCUUUUGGGCAUUGGACCAGAAUACUUUCGAUUUUGUACUCCAAAGUUUGUUAUUUGAUUUAGAUGUUGGAGCUUUAGACUGAAUGGUGCAAGUUAUGGAGAGAUUUUGAUUAGAUUGACUUAGUUUAUUUAUUUUUCCAUGGUUUCUGCCAUUUUCAAAUCCUUUUAAAUCUGCUUUCCAAGAUACACUAGUUCUAUUACUAUAAAGAUUCUUUGCAUAUCUUUUUCCUAUUAUCGAACAUGUUAGGUACUCCCCCUCAAAAAAAGAACAUGAUUGGUAGUGUAAUCAACAUAAAUUUACUGCAAAUGUCUAGCCAUUACUCAUAAUACUUUCAUUGUUUGGUUAUCUACAGUUCAUUUCCUCUGCCUUAUCUCCCACAACGCCUCCUACGUCCCCGCAACAGAUUCACGGUUUCCUCGUUCUUUUCUGAUUAGCUUAUCAUGGUGUUCCAAUAAAUCACAUUUCGCUAGGACCGAACCGAAACUGGACUGAAACUGCCAUCGGUUCUCUGUCCGAUUCGGUCCAAAACCGCAAUUUUCGGCAGUUCGUGAAAAAAACAAAAAAAAUCACAUUUUUAAACAUAUUUUAACCUGUUUAACAAUAAUAAUUCAAUACACCAAAAAUUCAUAAAAUAAAAUCUAUAAACUAACUCCAAUAAAAAGCUACAAAGUCCAUAAUCAAGUAUAUUUGAUUUUAGAAAUUAAUGUUUCAAUUCAAAAUUCAAAAUAUUUGAUUUUAGAAAUUAAUUAAAAUAUUAUUAAUAUUAAUAAAAAUAUAAAAUAUAUAUUUAAUGUGUAUAUUCGGUUCGGUUUUCGUCGGGUUUGGCCUUCCCGGAACCGAAAUCGAACCGAUAAACUAUUGGUCCAUCAAAAAAGAAUCGGACCGGACCAAUAAGUAGACCAAAACCGACAAAAUCGAUCGGUUCGGUCUGGUUCAAUUUUUUGCUAACCCCUAGCAUCAAGUUUAGCUACCUCCUUCAGCUCCGGCCAGUACCUGUCCUCCUUAUUGCCGACUAACAGCGACCUCACCUGGGUCUCCUGCUCCGCGUGCUGCCCACCCCCUUCCACCCUCACAGCUCCGCCACCAUUUUAGACAAACAAGAAACAUUAAUUAAACAACUUUAUUAAUAUAUAUAUAUAUAUAUAUAUAUAUAUAUAUAUACACACACACACACACAGGGACACACACAUAAGCAGUGGAGGGCUACAGUAAAAACACUUCUUAAAAUAUAAAUAAAAUUAUUUUUUAAUGUACGAAUUUUAUCAACAGGGUUACGAAUUCAUCCAACAGGGUUACGAAUUGUGAAAAAUAAAUUUUUGCUAACUUUGGGAUUCGAAUCCAGAACCACAAAUUCAUCCAACAUGGUUACGAAUCAACCGUAGAUCUUGAUGAUCUAAGGGCUGAAAAUUAUUUAUAUUUUAUAUUUUAAAAAGUGUUUUUAUUUUAGCCCUCCCCUAUAUUUAUUAUCUAUUAUCUAUAUAUAUAUAUAUAUAUAUAUAUACACACACACACACAUAUAUAUAUAUAUAUAUAUAUAUAUAUAUAAGUGUAGGAUCCACAUAUUUUGAAGGGUUAAUAUAUAGAAUCAACUAUUUUGAUACAAGGAAGAUUAAAAUAGUCGCAAUUAUAACAAUAUAUAAAAUAUGACUAUUUUUUUUAAUGUGAUAAUAUUAUUCUUCAUUGAACUCAAAAUGAGGAAUGUAAAAUAGUACUCCCUUCGUCCCAGCUUUUAGUAUCCAACUUUCAUUUUUUGGUCGUCCCACAUUUUAGUAUCCAUUUCUAUUUUUGGUAAAAGUAGGUGGGGCCCUUACUCCACUUUAAUUAUUUUAACUCUCACAUAAAAUGUGGGACCCUUAUUCCACUCACAACACAUCAAUCACUUUAUUAAAACCCGUGCCGUUCUCAACUGGAUACCAAAAGCCGGGACGGAGGGAGUAUUUUUUUUUUUUUUGUAGAAAAUGAAGAAAUCAAAUGAGAGAAUUAAGGGNNNNNNNNUUUUUCAUGAUAAAUUUACAGCCAAAAGAGAAAUGUACAAUAUUAAAUUUAAUACUCCUUCUGUCCUACUAGAAUAGACUCGUUUUCUAUUUUGGGAUUCCCCACUAGAAUAGUCUCGUUUUUCCAUUUUGAGAGAUUAACAAUAUUCAUUACAUGCUUAAUUGGUGUGGACUAUGUCAUUUUUCCCUUCAUAAGUAAGUUUCUUAAUAUCCAUACUCAAAAGAAAUUAAACUUAUUUUAAUGGGAUGAAUGAACUAUUAAGUUAAAAUAAAUAAAAAGAAAAUAGAAUUAGUUACUCAGUCCGUCUAUGAAAAAAAAGUCUUAAUUUAUCAUUUUCGUCCAACCACAAAAAAAAAAUUGUAACUUCUUUUUUCAAAUAAUCUCACUACUAUUACUUUUAAAAUUGUUACAUAUUUACACAUAUUAUAAUUCAUUAAUCCACCAUCUUUUAAUUUGUGGAUCAUUUCUCUCCCUAAUUUUCUCCAUCUUUUUUAAUUUGUGGAACUUUUGAUCUCCUCACUCCAUAAACAAGUAACUUUACUUAGGGGUGGACCGAUACGAUAUGCAAAAAAAAAUUCGUCAUACCGUAUAUUGUACCGUAAAUUGCGGUAUGAGAUUUUUCAUACCGUUGCCGUACCAAACUCUUCGGUAUAUUGAAGAUCGGUGUACCGAAAAAUUUGGUAUGAACUUUUUCAUGCUGAUAUCGUACCAAUAGUGCGGUAUACCGUACCAAAAUUAUUGAUAUAUUGUUUCAUGUCUAAAUUAUCAAAAUUAUUAAUGAAUUUAUAUUUUGUAAGUUGUCAUUAAUUCUUUAAUAAUUAUGAUUUAUAUAUAUAUAUAUAUAUAUAAUUUAUCACUAAUUAUAUAUAUACAUAUAUAAAUUAUUUCAAUCGAUACGGUAUGCCGGUUUGAUAUAUACCGAAAUAAUUGGUAUAUACCGAUUUUUCAAUAUAUACCGUGGUAUUGGUAUAUAACGGUAUAUUGCGGUAUGAGGAAAAUUGAUAAUGUUAUCGCACCGAAAUUUUUCGAUACGGUAUCAUGUCGUACCGAAAUUUACAGUAUACCAAAAGUUUGAUAUUUUCGAUAUUUUUUCAAUACGAUAAGUGUGAUAUACCGAUUUUUCAUUAGUUUGGUCCACCCCUAACUUUGCUUAUAAUUCAUGCCAACUUUCAUUAAGAUUUCUCUUUGUGCAGGCAAUGAAUAGUACUCCAUCCGUCCUAUUAAUUAAGACACACUUUCUUUAUUGUGUUGUCCCACUAAUAAAGACACACUUCUAAAUAAGGAACUAAUUAGGGAAUAAGAAUACUUAAUUAACUACACCUUAAUUACAUUAUAAAUACGAAACAAAACCCUAAAUUCUUUCUUUAUGUCUCUGCCUCUCCGCAACUCUCUCUGCCUUCUCCGGCCGAUGGCGGCUCCGGCGCCGCGCCCUGACCGCCUUCCUUCCUCCCCUCGCAUAUCUCUCUGUCCGACCCCUCUCUCUUUUCCCUCUCGGUUCUCCCCAUCUCUCUCGCUCAUCUCUCUUUCUCUAGACCUCUGUGUAUGCCGCCGCCGCCUUCUCCGACCAAACAGUCGCCACACAUCCUCUCCUAUUCUCCGGCGGAUCUGGUUCUAGUGGCUAGGGUUUGCAGGGGCGUUGGAUUUUGGGCGAGAGGCGUUCGAUUUUUGGGUGAGAACCCCUCCGCCUUGUUUCUGGAAUCCUUUCGACUUGGUUCGAUUUUGGGCGAGAGGCGUUCGAUAUUAGGCUUCUCACAAUAGCUAUUGUUGUAAGUAGUUACAUAUAUGAAAGAAUUUUGAUUCAUUGAAAUAAUUAAGGAUAAAAAGGUUGUGAUUGUGCGAAGUGCAACAGGGGAUUUUGAGGUCUGGAGUGAUGUUCACUCUGGUGGCGUGGUGGGAGAAGACCAUUGUUCGUGUCGUGUCGGUGUUCAACCCUUUGCUGCUUGUGAUUGUGACCAUUGCAAGAUCCUUGAUUUUGGAAGAGAAACAGUAAUUUUAAAAAAAUUACAAACAGAAAAAUCGAAAAUAAAAAGAAUAAUUAAAUUAAUUAAAAAUUUCAAAAUUCUGAAUUUUAAAAAAAAAUCAAUAUAAAAUGUAAAAUAAAAGUAAAUUAAUUCAAUAAACAAAAUUUAAUCAAUUGCACUAAUGACGUGGGCUUCAAUCCUUUAUCACUUAAAAUACCUCUCUUUAAUUGCUGUGUCCAAAUGAAGUGUGUCUUCAUUAUUGGGACGGAUGGAGUAUUUAACACGAAAAGAAAACCCUAACCCUAAUUAAUUACUUGUCCCCCCAUUCAGCCCACGCCGCACACCAUCUCGUCGCUUCCAUCCGCGGUGAAGAAAGUAAGCAACGUCUUUUCCAUUCUUCACUCUGCAUCUCGCAACCGCCUCCGUCAAGUUAAUCCCUUGCUCCAUUUUUUGUUGUUUCUUAGUUUAGUCAUCGCUCUAUUGCGUUCUUCUUCACCGUUUAUUAACUAGUCUCUUCCAUUUAUUUGACGCUAAAAUGCCGAUAUCCUCAAUUUGUCAUUGAAUCGUAUUAAAUACUCCAUUUUCCCCAUUUUUCUGGAGCAGAAAAUGCUCAAACUUGUAUGUCUGCUUGCUGGCUUUUUGGAUUUUCUUUGUUAAAGUUAUGUCAAUUGAAGUGCUUGAAACGGGAAAGUGAAUUUCUUUGUUACAAAUUUCUACUUGUGACCUGCGAAUUUGAAUAUGAGUUUAGCUCAAUGCAUUUACCUAGGUGUGAAAUAUCCCGGGAAAGGGUUGAGUUAUAGCUAUUGGGUUAUCUAAUUUGUAUGUUUGUACAGGUAAAAAGUUGCAUUAGGGUUACUUCCGUCUCAAAUGGCUCCAGCUAAAGGUACGAUAGUAUUUCUAUUUAGGUUUCAGAUUUUCAGAAUAUUGUUGUCUUUGUGGUAGAAAUUCUGAAUUGCUUCUUACAAUUUCGGGAAAGCAGCUACAAACUGCAAUUCUAAUAAUCAAAAUUUGGGGUGAAUGUUAUUUGAAUGAGCUGUUGCUUGAAGAGUAGAUUAAUAGAUAUUUCAGGAAUUGGUCCGAUAAUAUGUGAGAAUGAAAUCAGUAUUUUGUUUGGCUGCAUUGUGAGGUUGACUUAGAAUUGCAUUUUUAUCCAUGAUUAAACCUUGAUACAAUAUUGUGAGAGACCCCUGUCCUACAGUGGUUAGAGUUAUCAUUUAUUUAUGAUAUUUAUAUAAAACACUCUUUAACAUGGCAUAUAUGUAUCCAUCUACCUGGUUGUUUCUGGUUUAUCAUUGUGUUUCUUGCUAAACUACAAAUUAUCAUGAUAUUAAAACUGUAACUACAGUUUUCUCUCAUCCAACUUUUCUCUCAUUCAAUUUGGGUUGGUAAUCAUUAUAUUCCCAUUUCCCAAUUGGUUUUAGCCAUUACUUACCGUUGUUGAUGGGCACUACUGAUUUGGGGUAAGAGGGUCUUUAUUGUUAUGGAAAUCUAGCCCCUUCUUUUGUUUGUUUGCUAAUUUUCGCUUUUGCUUGUAUAUCUACAGGUGAUACAGGUAAGAAGUCAGAUGCCAAGGCUCAAGCCUUAAAGGCGGCCAAGGCUGUAAAAGCAGGUGCAACAACCUUUAAGAAGAAGGCCAAGAAAAUACGCACUAAAGUUACCUUCUAUCGGCCGAAGACAUUGACAAAGGAGAGGAAUCCCAAGUAUCCUCGCAUUAGUGCUGUUCCUCGCAACAAACUUGACCACUACCAGAUUCUUAAAUACCCUCUCACCACAGAGUCUGCAAUGAAGAAAAUUGAAGACAACAACACACUAGUUUUCAUUGUUGACAUUCGUGCUGAUAAGAAAAAGAUCAAAGCCGCUGUCAAGAAAAUGUAUGACAUCCAGACGAAGAAAGUGAACACCCUUAUCAGGUGAACAGUGAUUCCAUCAAUCUUUCUGCAAUUUACAUGUUGCAUGAUUGCAUCUGAACUGUUGGCCUGUGAUUGUGUCUUAACUUUUGUCUCAUAAUAUGUUUAGGUUUUUCAAUGUUACUGUCUGAAAUAGUUUCAUCUAGAAUUUUUAGUGAUAAACAACAUUAGCUUGAAAAUUUUAAUAUCGUGUGCAUCUGAACUAUUGCUUGAAGCUGGGUAAUGCAGUCAUAUAGCAUGCAAGAUGACUUUGUUUAGAAGUUAUCUAUCAUCCAUUCAUGCUCCUUUGUGUAACAAACAAGGUUUCAAAUUCAUUUUUUGCUUCAUGGUAACUGAUUUAUGAUCUGCUCUGUUUCAGGCCGGAUGGAACUAAGAAGGCAUAUGUUAGGUUGACACCUGAUUAUGAUGCUCUGGAUGUUGCUAACAAAAUAGGAAUCAUCUAAAUUGUAGACGAUCAAUUUUUGCAUCUAAGCCUUUCGUUUGGGAAUUGGACCAGAAUACUUUCAAUUUUGUACUCCAAUGUUGCUUUUUGAUUUAGAUGUGGGAGCAUUGAACUGCCCAAGUUACAUUGAGAUUUUGAUUUAGAUUUAUUUAUUUUUCUAGCCUUUCUAAAAUCCUUUUAAAUCUCUUCUCCAAGAUACACUCUAGUUCUAUAAAGAAGGUGCUUUGCUUAUCUUUUUCCUAUCAUCGAACAUGUUUGGUAGUUCAAUCAGCACCAAUUUACU
rnacentral:lncRNA from 1 species